AUACGUAGGGAGCGAGCGUUGUCCGGAAUUACUGGGCGUAAAGGGCGCGUAGGCGGCGCUUCAAGUCGUCUGUCAAAUGGGAGGGCUUGACCCUUUUUCGCAGACGAAACUGGAGAGCUUGAGAAGCAGAGAGGCAAACAGAAUUCCUGGUGUAGCGGGGAAAUGCGUAGAUAUCAGGAAGAAUACCAGUGGCGAAGGCGGUUUGCUGGCUACAUACUGACGCUGAAGCGCGAAAGCCAGGGGAGCAAACGGGAUUAGAUACCCCGGUAGUCCUAGCAGUAAACGAUGUAUGCUGGGUGUGAGACUAGCGAUAGUUUCGUGCCGAAGUUAACGCGAUAAGCAUACCGCCUGGGGAGUACGGUCGCAAGAUUGAAACUUAAAGGAAUUGACGGGG
rnacentral:rRNA from 1 species